UACAGAGGUCCCAAGCGUUGUUCGGAUUCACUGGGCGUAAAGGGUGCGUAGGUGGUCGGGUAAGUCUGAUGUGAAAUCUCCGAGCUUAACUCGGAAAUGGCAUUGGAUACUAUUCGGCUGGAGGUUUGGAGGGGGACUGGAAUUCUCGGUGUAGCAGUGAAAUGCGUAGAUAUCGAGAGGAACACCAGUGGCGAAGGCGAGUCCCUGGACAACACCUGACACUGAGGCACGAAAGCUAGGGGAGCAAACGGG
rnacentral:rRNA from 1 species